AAACCAAGUUACAUAUUGAAUUUGAGCAUAAUUCAACGCCAAACACAAGCCACCAUUAGACCCAUUUUUAAACCCCAGUUCCUCCUUUGUUACAGAAGUAGAACGAAAAUGUCGCCUUUAUCCAAGGUUGUUGCUUCAUGGUGCAAGAAGCAUGCAGAUGGAGAUGAUGAUGACAAUGAUUUUGACUAUGCUCCCGCAGCAUGCAUGGAAGGCAAUGGCGACGAUGAUGAUGGAGACUAUGACGUUGCUCCAGCAGCUUCUCUCGAGGGCGAUGAUGAUGACGAUGGCAGCUAUGAUUAUGCUCCAGCUGCAUGAUUGGAGUGAGGUUUAUGAGUGCCCCUUACCGUGGGGUUUCUAACCCAAAACUUUUUGCAAUUCUAUUAUGGAGUGAGGUUUAUGAGUGCCCCCCCCCCCGGUGGGGCUUUAAAGCACCUUGUGAUUUUGGGUUUAUAAGGAUUAUUUUAAUUAAAUGAUAUUCAAGGAAAACAUGGGAUCGUAUUUUAUGUCAGCUAUCGUUAUUAUUUUAGCAAUCUGUGACAAACGUGGAAGCAAUUAAAUAAUUUAUUGCAGUUUUGUACUUUAGCAUAAUCCAUUGUUUUAAAAGAAUGUUUUCUUAUCUGUUGGUGUUAUGGUAAAUAUCAGUCAAACAAGUCAAUGUAGAGCUAAUUAAUCACUGGUUUGAUGGGGACCUAAAAGGUCAGACUCUAAACUUGAAAAUAAAAUCUAGUAACUGAUAUUGUUGCUUUUUUAUUUUUUAAAAGUACUUGUGUUUUAAGGCAUAUCUAAAUAUAAGUAAGACUGUAAGAGAAGAUAAAUAAAGCUGGUUGUUUUCAUGUUCCAAUCAAAAGAAGAUGCUGACACUAUGGAAGGGCAUUAUGAAAAAUUCCCAAGCUAGGUUAACAAAAUCUUGCGGGCCGAUUAGGCGGGCAGUGGGGGAUGGUAAAAGUGUUUUAUUUUGGCACGAUUGCUGGUUCGCGGAUAAGGAGUUGAAGUUGCUUUUCUCGAGGCUUUAUGGAAUAGCAUCGUUGAAAUGGGUUACUGUGACAGAUGUGUAUGGGCAUCAAUACUGUACUAAGAUUGAUUGGAAUAAGCUUGGUGAAAGUAUUAUAUAAACUUUUGUAUUAAAAAUUAAAUUGUAUUUUUUAUUAUAAAAUUGUUAAAUCAAUUUCAAGAGGAAAUUGCUCUUUUGCUAAAAAUUAUAUUUAUUUCUAAUGUUAAGUGAUGAUAUUAUGUUACUGUGUUUACUUAAAAAAUUUUAUCAAUUUCACUAUUUGUUAAAACUUCUUUCAUUUCUUUUUUUAAAAUUUUUAUCCAUUCAUUUUACUUGAACUAGUCCCUCCAAGUCAAUAUGAGAUACACAUGACUUGUUACUUGUCAUUGUUUGGUUGCUGCAUCAGCCACACGUCAACACUUAACAGAAAAAGUUCAAGAAAUUUUUAAUAAAAAAGAAUAGUUUGCUCUUUUAUCUAAUAUAUAUGGACUAAUCUAUCAAUUUUUUGAGUAGAGAGGACAAAUGUAAUACGAUUUCUUAGUAUAGAGCUUCUAUGGUAUUUUUACCGAGUAAGAUUUUUAUAAAGGAGUUGUUCAAAUAAAUGUAGAUCAUGUACUAAUCGUAUUAUCUGGAUUAGAGAUACGGCUGGGAAUUUUUCAGUUAAGAGGGUAACUUUGUUAAUGGCAGAGGAGAUUGAACAACAUUGUGAUUUGGGAUUUGGAAAAUUGUGGAUUUUAUUGAUACCGUCGAAGGUGAAGGCUUUUUAGUUGCUUGUCAUUCAGAGAAUCCCUACGAAAUAUUUUCUUACAAAGAGAGGGAUUAAGCUGAGUUUGAAUAAGCUUUAAUGCUGUGGGUGUAACAAGUUCGAAGAGACUGGCCCUGUCUCUAACACGGUAUGUGAUCAUGUAUAUGAAUCCUAGUCAUCAUAUACCAUAUCAGUUUCUUCAAAUAAAUGUUAGCUGAAAGGAAAAAUAUAGCCGCUAGGAAAGGCCAGCAAUUUUUUAGCAGAUCCAUGAAUAUUACUAAACUCAUGCCUUUGUGUGAACUUCAGAUGAUAAUCUUAACUUCUAAAAUCAGAUGCUAAAAUGAUACAUGAAAUGAUUCUAUGGGAUAAAACUACAAAAUUAUAUGAUUUUUCAUGUAUAUAAAAUAUUUUACGAUUUUUUUAUAAAUAAAACCAUUCAAAAAUCAUAAAAAUCUAACUCAAAUAAAUUUUCGAGUUAAAGAUGGUUCUGUAACAGCCCCAUUUUGGGUCUAGAUGGAACAGUGGUUUUUGGACACAAAUCUGACGAGGAAAAAAAAUGUAAUGGCCUGAAUUUUCAGAGGUGUCGGAACGGUGAUUCGAGAUCACUAAAUUCGACAAAUGAGUAGAAAAUAUUAUUAAUUUAGUGAGUAUAAGUUAAAUGUGAAGUUAGGAAAAUUUUUGAAAUAGUGAAUAGUGCACUAGAAAUAAAUAUUAAAAUAAUUAGAAUAAAAAAUAGGGUAUCGAGACCUCGGAGAUUUUAAAUCGAGCCAUAAAUAUUUUUAUAAAUAUUUAUGGAGUGUUAAAAAGUUAGUAUUAAAGUUUCGUUAAGAAAUUUUAAAGUUCCGAUAAUUAAUUGAACAAAAAGGACUAAAUUGUAAUAAAUGCAAAAUUAUGGGAAAUGAUUAAAUAGCUUAAAUGAUAAAAGGAAGAGGGCUUCAAAGGAAAAUAGACCCAAGGUCUAUUUGGGGUGGACGGCAAAGGCAUGAAAUCAGCAACAAAGUAAGGAGAAAUAAGGGCAAAAUUGAAAUAUUGCAAAAUUUACUUAAUAAAGAUAGGACCAAAGUGGAAUUAUCUAGAUUUCUCUUUAUUUUUCUGCAAUCUCAUCAGAAAAAACACCAUAGAAGGGUUUCCUUGAGCUGGUUCUUCCUAUUUUUACUGCAGGUAAGUUCAAUUCUUGAUUAUUUCUUGAAAUUUUGGUGUUUUUGUGACUUUUACAACUAGGCCCACUUGUUGUAUUCAUUAGUUUUUGAUUCUAUGAAAGAAGUUGAAAGUUGCUAUGAAUACAUGUUGGAAAUAUAUGAUGAUUUAGGAUGGAAUUAGAGCUUUAAAUUGUUCAUAUGCUGAUUUUAUUGAAAGAAUUGAAUAGAAAGUGAAUGUUUGAGACCUAAUAGUAAAAGAGUUUGAAGAUAGAGUUAUAUGUGGAAAUUCUGAAUUUCAAUAGUUGUGAAACAACUUAUAAUGUCUAGGUAAAGUAUUAAUUGAGAAAAUUAGAUUAAUUGAGGGGUUAAUUGAGAAAGGACCGAGUUGUAUAAACUGUGAAAUUUGGGGCAAAAUGGAAAUCAACAUUUUGCACUAAAGCAGUUUUGGACAGCAGCAGUAGUAUAAAUUUGAAAAAUCACCAAAAAUUUUGGGAAUUGAAUUAUAGGGUGAAUAAAAUAUGAAAUUAAAGCUUAUUGAGUCUAGUUUCUCAUAGAAGAAACGGUGUAAGCAAUGGAAUUGUAAAUCAUGAGAUAUAAUUUGUGAGACAAUGUCAGAAUGAUUUCGGGUUCCCCUAUUCUGACUUUGGAAAAUCAUAAAAAAUUGAAUAAAAAUAAUUAUGAGUUAUAAUUUAUAUGCUUAGAAUCCUUAAUGAGUCUAUUUUCAAAGGAAAUAAACGGAAACAUCAUCCAAAUUCUGUACAAUUAGAUAAUUCAUUUUUAGUAAAGAGUGGUCGGAACUAUCAGACAGCGAAACAGGGGAAAUUUUAAAGAAUAAAAUGUACUAUUUGGCUGAACAAAAAAUUCUGAAAAUUUUAUGGUAAGAAUUUAUGUGAGUCUAGUUUCAGAGAAAAUUAACGGAUCUUAAUUUGGAGCUCUUUAGUUCCGGAUAAAAAUAAUUUAGUGACUCUGACUCGGAUAAACAUUUUUGAAUAUACAUGUGAGUGAAUAGUGAAAUUAUAGCUAAUGUUGUUUAAGUGUGUUAUACACAUUAAGGAUGUGGAAUGGAGAGGAGGAGGAGGAAAAUUGGGAAAUAUAUGAGUGAUUUGUGUAUAAUUGGUCAUAUGCUUGAUUUUAAUUGAUAAACGAUGAAAUAGAAAUGAUGCUUAUAUUUGUGCAUUAUUGGUCAUGGUUUAAGCUCAUGUGUGAAAAUAAAGUUUCAUAGUAUGUGUGUAUGGUAUAUUCGGUAUAUGAUUUGGCAUGAAAUAAUGGCAUGAAUGGUUUAUGAAUUAACACAUGUUGGUAAGCCUGAUACAUGAAUAAAUGUUGUGCUCAUCCAUGCUUAUAAUGCUUAUGCUAAAUGCGUAUUUGGCUAACAUAUUUGGUGUAUAUGCUUAGGCUUUGGCCAAGUAGUGGCUAGAUUAUGCCACGUUAAAUUUAUAAGUUAUGCAUUGAAAUGGUUUAUCGUGUGGUUAGUUCCAAAAAGAGUUAUGUUUAAAUACACUAGCUUGCAACUAUGGUUGAAUGAUAUGCUUAUAUCUUGUGUGAUGUGCAUAGAAACAAAUGUGGAAAGAUAAUGAAAUAAUAAGUUCAUAUUAUUUAAGCUAAAGUGAUAUUUUCAUUGCAAAAUUGUGAAUUUCAUAAAUGUGUUAUUGAACGGUAUAAUCGAUAAACAUUGAGUUAAAUGGUAAAUACGUAUUAGUGUUGAACUUAAUGUCAUUGAAUUGUACGUGAAUUAAAUGGAAAUUGCUAGUUAAUUGAUUUAAAUUGUGAGCAUGAGAAGUUGCGAAUUGAAUGAAAUGGAAAUGAAACAUUGAAUUGCAUGAGUAUGUAUCGGGUCUCAUAGGCCCUAAUUAUUAUGAUUAUAAUAUUUUGAGGAUAUAUUGUGAAAAGUUAUAGAAACAUGUUAAUUAUUUUGAAAGUUUUAAUUUAGAUGAAAUUUUAUAAUUCGGUUAAAUACGUUUACAAGUGUAUGUGUUUUGGUAAUGCCUCAUACCCUAUUCCAGUGUUGGAUACGGGUAAGAGGUGUUACAAGUUCCAUCGAUGUCACUAAGAAUAAAUACCCACAAAUACCUUUCACUAGAAAACCGAGAAUGACAACAACAGGAGGAGAAAAAGACCAGACAGAGAAUUAAUCAUUUUGUUACAUUUAUUCAUUACAUAUCCUUCAAUAUUAAUGUAAAAGUAUUGAUUUUUUUAUUUUUAUUUUUGGCUUUGCAACGAAGCCAGCUAAGAUUUAACGCGGUUUUUUUAUGUCACAAGCAUCACACGCUCCGAAUUUCCUAUGACAGGAAUCGCCUCGUGUUCCUCUCUAUAUAAACCUCUGCCUAUCUCCCCACCAGGUUCAACCCAAAAGUCUCCCACUGGUGGUUCAAAGUCAAAAGUCAAAAACCAAACGCUCCUUUCUCACAUAUCUUGGGAUAUCAUCAUCAUGAGUAGCUCAAAGUCAUGUGUCAUCAUGCAUGAUGCUGCUGCUGAUAAUAUUAAAAAGUUUCAAAGCAGCUCAAACAUGAACAUCAUCAUGUACGUUGAGGGUGUACAUGUUAUUUCAAACUCAAAUUUACCGGCUAAACAUGAUUAUGCUCCAGCGCCAGCUUAAUUUUAAGGGGUUAUAGUAACAUUAUCAAACCCUAGUUAUAGUUUUUGCAAUGCUCUAAAACCCUAGUUAGUAUGUUGUACUGUAUGUUUUUAGGUUUUUCUUUUUGGAGUUAAUAUGCAUGCAUGCAUGAUGUAAUCUUACGAUAAUAGAUAUAGCAAUAUAUAUUGUCGUUAAUCUAUAUAUAAAUUGGUUUUCUUUAUUCAUGUAGGAUGAGAAAUUUUAGUACAGUCGUGCGGGAAUUUUGAAUAAAUAAUUUAUUUUAUUAUUAAGUAAUCAAAAGAUUGAACCUUUUUUUUAUAUAAUAGAGUCGAAUGAUUAAGAGAUGUCACAUAAAUUAAUUAACCCAACAUGCUAGCAAAUAUAUAUAUAUAUAUUAAUCAAAAACCUAAUGAUUGACUCCACCAACACAGCUUAUGCGAUGCUAAUCAUUUAAUUAAUUAUUAGUUAUUAAUAAUAAAUAGAUAUCAUGGUGGAUUAUUUUUUUGGAGUUGUAUAUGAUGACUCAAAGUCCAUGCAUUUCUACGUGCAAUAUGCUUGUGAAAUGUUGUAUGAUAUGUACUUUGUACAAGUCAUGAACCAAUAUGGCAAUAUCCAAUUUUUUGCCUAUUUUUUCAUUAAUUAAUUUCCUACUAACCUAUAAAUUAGGAGCAAAUACUAAUAACUAUGAUGUUAGUAAGUAUAUAUGUGAAAUAUAAAUUUAAAAGAAAAACGAUUUUUUUUUAAUAAGAAUAAAAAUCAGUGUAGGAGAAAUGAGGCUAAUUACUUCAGUCUUAAGAUAAAAUAUUAUUUGUUUAAUAAAUAAUUUUAUUUACUUUUAUUUUUUAAAAUAUCGUAUAUUUUAAUGCAAUAUCAAGCUUAUUCAUGAUAAACACAAACAUUUGAUAAGAUUUAAUUAUAUAUACUUUUCCCCUUUUUAUAUAUCUUUAAUACAAUGUAUAUUAGUACUAUUAUAAUAACAUGACUGUGUUUUUUUAUGUUCUUGGUGUGAUUUUUUUACUCGCAAUUUUAGAAUAAUUGAAAUUCAAAAGCUUUUUCCGUCCCUAUAAAUAUAAAGGAAUCAAUGAAAAAAAAGGUUAAAAGAUGAUAUUAUUGGGUGGAAAAUCCACAAGUAUCAAACAUAAAGAGUAAAAACAGGGGAAAUAUCAAAUAGAAAGGUAUUUUUUUAUGUAAAAUAGAAAAAUAAUUAUGUGAAACAAAAAUGUUAAUCUUUUUAAUAUCAAGAGUUAAAGUGAUACAAAUUUAAUCAUAUAUAUUAUUUUUUUUAAAAUUCACUCACAUAAUGAGUGUGAGUUGUAAUAUAAUCUAAUUUAUGGAAAAAAUGUAAAUUAUUUUUUCGAGUGCGCGCAUUAUCCUCCUAUUUAUGAAAUAGGAAGGGGAUAUGGGUAGUUUUAGACAUUACAUCAAAAAGAGCAGAUAUAAUCAAAAUCAGAUUGUUCAAAAAAAUAUUAAAUAUUAAACCUAAUUUUAUUUUUAAUAAGAUAACUUAUCAAAACACACCAUUUUAAUUAAACAAUUGUGGGCUUAAAUUUUGUAGCAUUUUGAUUUUCUUAUAUAAAAGAAUUCCAACAAGUAGCAGUAGUAGGCAAAUAACUAUUGAAUAAUCUAUCCUCAAACUAAUAAUUAUUUUGCUUUCCUAUCUGAAUACCUUUUAGAAUCACUUUAAAAUAAAUCAACAGUGUAAAUCCCUCAAAAGCCUUCCGAUUUGUUAAAUAUAAAAUAUUAAGACUAAUUAAUAAGACAAGAUCAUGAAGAUGUUUUCUUUAAUCUUUAUCAGAUUUAUUCCGCCCAGUUGAAAUUAGAUAUUCUGAGGAUUUAAUACCAAACAAGUUAGUGUUUGUCUCCAUCAAGAUUCCCCUAAUUAAUCAAAAAAAAAAGCAUCAACCAUUAUCAUUAUUAUGUGGUUUGUUAAAUCGAAAUUUAAUUAACUCGGAAUUCAAACCUUCUUUUUAAUCUCAUGAUUCAUUUGAAAAUGUCGAGCAAAAUGAACGAAAUCAAAAAUAAGAAUAAUAAAUUGAGAUAACAAAUAAGAUUUUAAAUCAAAUAAUUAUUUUUAUUUUACUCAAAGAUAAACUUACAACAUUAAACCACCCGGUAAUUAGAGAUAAAAUUAAUUUUAUUAAUGAUUUGAUAAGAUGGUUCUUGAAUUAAAAUUAAUUUUUGUAAUUACAAAAUUAUAAAUAUAUGUUUGUGCAAUUACAAAAUAGAAUCCAAUCAUUAUAAAGCAUAACAAAUGAAGAAUCGAAAACACUUAUUUUUUUGCAAAUCCAUAUAGUUGAUUAUUUGUGGUUUAAUGUUGUAGAUUUAAUCCCUUCAAUUCAAUAUAUUUGAUUAUUUAGUUGGAAAAUUAUCCCAUAUAUAGUUAAUGGAAUUUUUUAAACUUCACAAGUGGGUUAAGAUUGUGCUCUACAACUCAACUUAAAUAUUAGCAUGAGAAAAUCUUCGAUUAUUUUUUUUUUAUAUUUUGUAAUUCAAAAUAAUGAAUUGAUUUAAUUUAUUAUUUAUUUUUUUACCAAGUCCUACCAUUAAUAUCAAAUUAAAAAAUAAUUACGCGUGGCUGAAGGGGGCACAAAUGGGGACAUGGGGAGGGGGCAGAAGAUUUACGUUCGAGCAAAAUGUGAUUAUGUUGCCAUGAUGAUACCACAACUAUUUGGCCAUAGCUAGCUCCAAACCACAUGUUAGAAGAUAAUGAGCUUCACUUUUUCAUAUCCUGCGAAAGCAGCAAAAUGAUUUAAUUUUUUUUUUAGAUUCUAAUGUGUAGCCCACCACCCUGGCCCAAAGAUGACUUUACUAACAUCAAAGGCCAUUGAUGAUAUGCAGAGGAGAAUCUGCUGAUUUGUCACCUUAGGAGGCUGGACCGCGUACCGCCACCCAUGCUCGGCACUUGGGCUAGCACAAGGCAGCACAACUUUUCGUCUUUAUUCCACACUCUUCGCGUGGUAGCCUUGUGGCAGAAAGAGGCUAUUCACCACCUCUACCAACACCACCAUCUAUAUAUGCACUUAUGGCAUCCGUUCAAACCCAACUCAAGUUUCAGAUUGAAUUUUAGUAUAAUUCAACCACAACCACAAGCCACCACUAGACCCAUUUUGAAACCACAGUUCCUCCUUUGUUACAGUACAGAAGUAGAAGGAAAAUGUCAGCUUUAUCCAAGGUUGUUGCUUCAUGGUGCAAGAAGCAUGUAGAUGGAGACGAUGAUGACAAUGAUUUUGACUAUGCUCCCGCAGCAUGCAUGGAAGGCGAUGGCGACGAUGAUGAUGGAGACUAUGACUAUGCUCCAGCAGCUUCUCUCGAGGGUGAUGAUGAUGGCAACUAUGAUUAUGCUCCAGCGGCAUGAGUGAAUAUAAAUAGUUAGUCCUUAUGCUAUUUGCUCUUAACAGCAUCAAACCCUAAUCAUGGGGUUUCUAACCCAAAACUUUUUGCAAUUCUAUUAUGGAGUAAGUUCUAUGAGCGGCCCCCGAUUGUGCAAAUUUAAAGCACCUUAUGAUUGUGGGAUUUUAAGGAUUAUUUUAAAUGAUAUUCAUGGAAAACAUGGGAUUAUUUUAAAUAAUUUACGUUUAAGGAUGAUGAUGAUGAUAGAUGGCCAUCAUCACUAUAUUAUUAACUACUCAACUAGCACUUUGUUCAGGUUAUCGUGGAAGAAAUUAAAUAAUAUUAUCUCAGUUUUGUACUUAAGCAUAAUCCAAUUUUUUUAAAAGAAUGUUUUAUUGUCUGUUGGUGUCUUGGUAAAUAUCAGUCAAACAAGUCAAUGUAGAGCUAAUUAAUUACUGUUUCGUUAGGCCAAAAGGUCCAAUCCAAUGUUAUUAUUUUACAUUAAAACCGAAAAAUAAUAAUCAAAAGUGCUCGUGUUAAAC
rnacentral:lncRNA from 1 species